rnacentral:tmRNA from 1 species
GGGGGCGCCUUGGUUUCGACGGGGACGCGGACGCUGUGUCUUGCAUGUCGAGUGGCAGUAGCCUCGAAAAAAAGCUGCACACAAACAAACGCCAACAAUACGCGUUUCGCUCUCGCUGCUUAAUUAGCGAGAUGUUGCACAGGCUGGACUCUGAGCCUGGCUAGGUAACUAGCAGCAACAUCAUCUCAAGAGUCUAGGAGUUGUUCAGGUUGGUGGUUCACCUCCGAAAUCUAAGCCAUCUAGUCAUCGGGCUGGCCUGACGGUCGGCUUACCCGCUGAUGAAACUCAAAUAGAUCGUCUAAGCAUGUAGAUAGAGCAGAAAAAGGUUUCCGGACGCGGGUUCAACUCCCGCCGCCUCCACCA